rnacentral:misc_RNA from 1 species
UUUUCGUAGGUGAACCUGCGGAAGGAUCAUUAAUGAAGCACAAGAGCGCACUUUAUUGUGGCUCGACCUUCAUAUCCAUUCACACUGUGCACUGUAAUACCUUUUUUAGACUCUACAAGUCAAAAAGAAUGUACCACUUUUAAUAAAGUAAACAAAACUUUCAACAACGGAUCUCUUGGUUCUCGCAUCGAUGAAGAACGCAGC